rfam:Algibacter lectus DNA, contig: contig00019, strain: JCM 19300.
ACCUAGCGGAUAAUGCGUUAGGGAUUGAUGCGGCAUCCUUUUUGCAAAAACAAAAAAGCCUAGACUAUGGUUGGUCUAGGCUUUUUUUAUUAUGUGGUUACUCCAAAAGUUUAUCUAUACUUUGUAAAAAGAUAUAGCGGAAAGCCCGCCCCUUG